UUAGGGAGGAAGGUUACGGGUGGAGAAUAACGGUAUAUCAGCUAAAGAAGAAUUUUAUUGCAGAAAACCUGUGCCUGACGCUGCUGCCCGCACUGAUCUGGCUGGGCUGGGGUGUGCUAAGGCCUGCGGCCACGCUGAGGCCUGCGGCCACGCUCAGCUGCAAGCAACGCUCCUGCGGCCACCCACCCUCUGCAGCUGCCCCCAGCUCCCCUGGGGCUGCUGGGGCACCUGAACCUGUCCUCGCCCUUUCCAGGUGGAGGAAGGGUGGUAUAUAAAGGAGCUAACGGCACCCCAUCAGCUGGUUUGCUUGGAGAGGAGCUGGAGGAAGGGUGGAUCCCUGGGACAGGCUGUGGCAGUGGCAGCUUGCCACCAAAUUCCCAGACCCAGAAAGCCUCAGCUGCAUUGCUUCUGGCUGCAACCCAGCUCCGGUGCCGCCUUUGCCCUGGGGCUUGCAGGCUCUCGUGGGCUUGUGGUCCCGUAAGGAGUGGGACUUGCUAUACUCUGCCUUUCAUACAAACUCUAGCUGCAGUUGCACUGUGGGUCUGAAUGAGGCUGGAUUCAGAUGGGUGUGACUAAAGCCCCAGGGCAUGAGGACAGGUCCUAUGUUCACACAGAGGCCCUAAGGCCGGCCCUGAGGUGUUGCUACAAGCCCUAGGCCUGUGUCUCAGUGGUCCAAAGGGAGCCUCUCUGCACAUCUACACUGUUAAGUGCUGAGCUGGUGCUAAUUACCGUUCUGCUAAUUGCUCUGAACUCCACUGUCUUGCUGCCUUCCGUAGCUAAAGCUUGGCCGUGGCUCUUGCUGAAGCGGAGAACUUCUUGGAAGCUUGAUAAAAUCUGCAGGGAGACACCUGCCAAUCUUCAUACAUAACAUCUUUAUUUUAAUUUAUUGGCAGCACUUGGAGAAAUUGGCCUUUCUGCAGCAUCAGUUGGACUUCAUUAAAAUAAUAAGAGAGCUAAGUUAGUAAAAACAAACCUGGCCAGUUGGCAACCUCACUUUUGUCAGGACUGAUCUAUGCCGAAAGAUAUAGAUUUAGUCCAUCUACAGUAAUAAAGUCCCAUGAUCCUGUGGUUAAAAUGUCUUU
rnacentral:lncRNA from 1 species